rnacentral:rRNA from 1 species
UACGUAGGGUGCGAGCGUUGUCCGGAAUUAUUGGGCGUAAAGGGCUCGUAGGCGGCUCAGUAAGUCGGGUGUGAAACCUCCAGGCUCAACCUGGAGACGCCACUCGAUACUGCUGUGGCUAGAGUCCGGUAGGGGAGCAUGGAAUUCCUGGUGUAGCGGUGAAAUGCGCAGAUAUCAGGAGGAACACCAGUGGCGAAGGCGGUGCUCUGGGCCGGAACUGACGCUGAUGAGCGAAAGUGUGGGGAGCGAACUGG